AAGAUUUCAACUUUCUCUAUUCAGCAGUUUCUGUUCUACUUCGUUUUCAGUUUUCUUUUCCAACGUUUUGAUUUGCUUCUUGAGAUGCCUUUGAUUCACAGGCCAUGGAUUAUGGGUUAUCUCUUUAUCAAUAAUGAUAAAAAGAGGCAUAGAUUUUCGCAAGAGUUGAGUCACUUCGCCUUCGUGUUAUCCACUGGCGCAG
rnacentral:lncRNA from 1 species